rnacentral:rRNA from 1 species
UACGGAAGGGGCAAGCGUUGUUCGGAAUCAUUGGGCGUAAAGGGCGCGUAGGUGGUUCUGUAUGUCUACCGUGAAAGCGUACGGCUCAACCGUAUUUUGUCGGUAGAAAACUGCAGGACUUUGAGGCUGGGGAGGGGCUGGUGGAAUUCCCUGUGUAGCGGUGAAUGCGUAGAGAUGGGGGAGAACACUCGUGGCGAAGGCGGCCAGCUAGACCAGUUCUGA